AACGCGAAGAACCUUACCAAGGCUUGACAUAUACUGGACUGCGUCAGAGAUGGCGUUUCCCUUCGGGGCUGGUAUACAGGUGGUGCAUGGUUGCCGUCAGCUCGUGUCGUGAGGUGUUGGGUUAAGUCCCGCAACGAGCGCAACCCUCGUUCUAUGUUGCCAGCACGUGAUGGUGGGGACUCAUAGGAGACUGCCGGGGUUAACUCGGAGGAAGGUGGGGAUGACGUCAAAUCAUCAUGCCCCUUAUGUCUUGGGCUUCACGCAUGCUACAAUGGCCGGUACAGAGGGUUGCGAUACUGUGAGGUGGAGCUAAUCCCUAAAAGCCGGUCUCAGUUCGGAUUGGGGUCUGCAACUCGACCCCAUGAAGUCGGAGUCGCUAGUAAUCGCAGAUCAGCA
rnacentral:rRNA from 1 species